rnacentral:rRNA from 1 species
GACGAACGCUGGCGGCGUGCUUAACACAUGCAAGUCGAACGGAAAGGCCCUGCUUUUGUGGGGUGCUCGAGUGGCGAACGGGUGAGUAACACGUGAGUAACCUGCCCUUGACUUUGGGAUAACUUCAGGAAACUGGGGCUAAUACCGGAUAGGAGCUCCUGCUGCAUGGUGGGGGUUGGAAAGUUUCGGCGGUUGGGGAUGGACACGCGGCUUAUCAGCUUGUUGGUGGGGUAGUGGCUUACCAAGGCUUUGACGGGUAGCCGGCCUGAGAGGGUGACCGGCCACAUUGGGACUGAGAUACGGCCCAGACUCCUACGGGAGGCAGCAGUGGGGAAUAUUGCACAAUGGGCGGAAGCCUGAUGCAGCAACGCCGCGUGCGGGAUGACGGCCUUCGGGUUGUAAACCGCUUUCGCCUGUGAUGAAGCGUGAGUGACGGUAAUGGGUAAAGAAGCACCGGCUAACUACGUG